UCAAGCUAAUCUGCCCUGGGUAAGUCGGGACCUAAGGCGAGGCCGACAGGCGUAGUCGAUGGACAACGGGUUGAUAUUCCCGUACCGGCAUUAACACGACCCGACCGAGGUCACUGAUGCUAAAACCGAGAAGCUAGGCGGCCUUCGGGCCAAGUAGUGGAUCUGUUGACCCGAGGUGGUAUUAGGUGCACUAAGGAGUGACGCAGGAGGGCAGUCCAUCCGCGGCGAUGGUAGGCGCAAGCUGAUCCGCGGGCAAGGUGGUAGGGCGAGGCAUAGGCAAAUCCGUGUCUCAUAUAGCCUGAGAACCGAGGCGGACCCGUUCAGGGGAAGUGGAUGAUCCCAUGCUGCCAAGAAAAACUUCGUAGUGAGUGUUAGAGCCGCCCGUACCCCAAACCGACACAGGUGAUCAGGUAGAGAAUACCAAGGCGAUCGAGUGAACCAUGGUUAAGGAACUCGGCAAAAUGCCCCCGUAACUUCGGGAGAAGGGGGGCCGGAUGCGUUACAUGGCUUGCCCAUGGAAGCGUUGAUGGCCGCAGAGACCAGGCCCAAGCGACUGUUUACUAAAAACACAGGUCCGUGCGAAGAAGUAAUUCGAUGUAUACGGACUGACGCCUGCCCGGUGCUGGAACGUUAAGGGGACAGGUUAGCUGGUUUAGGCCGGCGAAGCUUUGAACUUAAGCGCCAGUAAACGGCGGUGGUAACUAUAACCAUCCUAAGGUAGCGAAAUUCCUUGUCGGGUAAGUUCCGACCUGCACGAAUGGCGUAACGACUUGGGCGCUGUCUCAACCAUGGACUCGGCGAAAUUGCAUUACGAGUAAAGAUGCUCGUUACGCGCAGCAGGACGGAAAGACCCCGGGACCUUUACUACAACUUGGUAUUGGUGGUCGGUACAACUUGUGUAGGAUAGGUGGGAGACUGUGAAAUCCGGACGCCAGUUCGGGUGGAGUCAUCGUUGAAAUACCACUCUGGUUGUUCUGGCUGUCUAACUUCGGUCCAUUAUCUGGAUCAGGGACAGUGCCUGGUGGGUAGUUUGACUGGGGCGGUCGCCUCCUAAAAGGUAACGGAGGCGCUCAAAGGUUCCCUCAGCCUGGUUGGCAAUCAGGUGUCGAGUGUAAGUGCACAAGGGAGCUUGACUGUGAGACAGACAUGUCGAGCAGGGACGAAAGUCGGAACUAGUGAUCCGGCGGUGGCAUGUGGGAGCACCGUCGCUCAACGGAUAAAAGGUACCCCGGGGAUAACAGGCUGAUCUUCCCCAAGAGUCCAUAUCGACGGGAUGGUUUGGCACCUCGAUGUCGGCUCGUCGCAUCCUGGGGCUGGAGUAGGUCCCAAGGGUUGGGCUGUUCGCCCAUUAAAGCGGCACGCGAGCUGGGUUUAGAACGUCGUGAGACAGUUCGGUCCCUAUCCGCUGCGCGCGCAGGAGACUUGAGAAGGGCUGCCCCUAGUACGAGAGGACCGGGGUGGACGAACCUCUGGUGUGCCAGUUGUUCCGCCAGGAGCACGGCUGGUUGGCUACGUUCGGGAGUGAUAACCGCUGAAAGCAUCUAAGCGGGAAGCACGCUUCAAGAUGAGGUCUCCCACCGAGUUAAUCGGGUAAGGCCCCCAGUAGACCACUGGGUUGAUAGGCCAGAGGUGGAAGCGCCGUAAGGUGUGGAGCUGACUGGUACUAAUAGGCCGAGGGCUUGUCU
rnacentral:rRNA from 1 species